CAACCCUUGGCCGUUGUGUUUGCAUGCUCUGCACCUUGCUCCUGCCCACUCUGCUUGUCACCUUUCCUCAGUCCUGAAUUAGUGCCUGGAUUUCAUCAUCCAGCCUUGCAGGAUGCUCCCAUUUGUUCUGGGGAAGGCUGUCCCAGAUGGAGAAGAGGAGAUGGAGGUGGAUAUAGAUAUUGAUAGAGAGGAGGACAUGGAGACGGAGGGAGCAGACACUGGAGAAGAGGAGAUGGAGGUGGAGGUGGUUGUGGAAGAGGAGAUGGAAUUGGAUAUGGAAGAGUCCAUUGAGGACAUGGACAUUGAUUAAAAAGGUGCGAUGGACAGCACAGACAGAGACGCCAACCUUUGUAUAUAUGUUCUACAGUUUGUUGUUGUUCUUUAGAAUGUAGAUUUUAGGGCUAUUUUUGACUUCUGUAAAUACAUUUCACAUAUUUUUGUUAGGUAGGUUUUUAUGUAUAUAUGUUCUAUCGAUUGUUGUUGUUACAAAUGUUCUUACAAUGUAAAUAUGUUCAGUAUUUUUCCUGCUGUUCUUCUGUAAUAAACAAA